CGGCCGACAGCAGCCGAUUGGCCGAGCGGAAACAUCUGGAGCGCCGGGAGCUGCUGGAGCGAUCAGAGCAGCAGCUCAUCAGCCUGAGAGCUUCACUUCAACAGGCAGUCCACGCUCUGAGCUCCGAGCUGGUGACCCACCUGUUGGUCCGAGACCAGCUGAGGACCAAGCAGGACGCCAUGCUGCUGGACGUCCAGGACCUGACAUAACACCAGGACCAGACCUACACCAGGACCUGAUGUAACACCAGGACCAGACCUACACCAGGACCUGACAUAACACCAGGACCAGACCUACACCAGGACCUGAUGUAACACCAGGACCUGACAUAACACCAGGACCAGACCUACACCAGGACCUGAUGUAACACCAGGACCAGACCUAUAACACCAGGACCAGACCUACACCAGGACCUGAUGUAACACCAGGACCAGACCUAUAACACCAGGACCUGAUGUAACACCAGGACCAGACCUAUAACACCAGGACCAGACCAAUGACACCAGGACCAGACAUAACACCAGGACCUGACCUACACCAGGACCUGACAUAACACCAGGACCUGACCUAUAACACCAGGACCAGACCUACACCAGGACCUGACAUAACACCAGGACCUGACCUAUAACACCAGGACCAGACCUACACCAGGACCUGACAUAACACCAGGACCUGACCUAUAACACCAGGACCAGACCUACACCAGGACCUGACAUAACACCAGGACCUGACCUACACCAGGACCUGACAUAACACCAGGACCUGACCUACACCAGGACCUGACAUAACACCAGGACCAGACCUAUAACACCAGGACCAGACCUACACCAGGACCUGAUGUAACACCAGGACCAGACCUAUAACACCAGGACCAGACCUAUAACACCAGGACCUGACCUACACCAGGACCUGAUGUAACACCAGGACCAGACCUAUAACACCAGGACCAGACCUACACCAGGACCUGAUGUAACACCAGGACCAGACCUAUAACACCAGGACCAGACCUACACCAGGACCUGAUGUAACACCAGGACCAGACCUAUAACACCAGGACCAGACCUAUAACACCAGGACCAGACAUAUGACACCAGGACCAGACCUACACCAGGACCAGACCAAUGACAGCAGGACCUGACAUACACCAGGACCAGACCUACACCAGAACCAGAACUACACCAGGACCUGACAUAACACCAGGACCAGACCUACAGCAGGACCUGACAUACACCAGGACCAGACCUACACCAGGACCAGAACUACACCAGGACCUGACAUGCAUCAGGACCAGACCUACACCAGGACCUGAACCUAUAACACCAGAACCAGACAUUACACCAGGACCUGAUGUAACACCAGAACCUGAACCUAUAACACCAGGACCUGAAGUAACACCAGGACCUGAACCUAUAACACCAGGACCUGAAGUAACACCAGGACCUGAACCUAUAACACCAGGACCAGACCUACACCAGGACCAGACCUAUAACACCAAGACCUGAACCUAUAACACCAGGACCAGACCUACACCAGGACCAGACCUAUAACACCAGGACCUGAACCUAUAACACCAGGACCAGACCUACACCAGGACAAGACCUAUAACACCAGGACCUGAACCUAUAACACCAGGACCAGACCUACACCAGGACCAGACCUAUAACACCAGGACCUGAACAUCUAACACCAGAACCUGAACCUAUAACACCAAAACCUGAACCUAUAACACCAGGACUUGAAGUAACACCAGGACCUGAACCUAUAACACCAGGACUUGAAGUAACACCAGGACCUGAACCUAUAACACCAGGACCAGACCUACACCAGGACCAGACCUAUAACACCAGGACCUGAACCUAUAACACCAGGACCAGACCUAUACCAGGACCAGACCUAUAACACCAGGACCUGAACCUAUAACACCAGGACCAGACCUACACCAGGACCAGACCUAUAACACCAGGACCUGAACCUAUAACACCAGGACCAGACCUACACCAGGACAAGACCUAUAACACCAGGACCUGAACCUAUAACACCAGGACCAGACCUACACCAGGACCAGACCUAUAACACCAGGACCUGAACCUAUAACACCAGGACCUGAAC